rnacentral:rRNA from 1 species
GGGCUGUAGUCGGUCCCAAGGGUUGGGCUGUUCGCCCAUUAAAGCGGUACGCGAGCUGGGUUCAGAACGUCGUGAGACAGUUCGGUCCCUAUCCGUCGCGGGCGCAGGAAAUUUGAGAGGAGCUGUCCUUAGUACGAGAGGACCGGGAUGGACGCACCGCUGGUGUACCAGUUGUUCUGCCAAGGGCAUCGCUGGGUAGCUAUGUGCGGACGGGAUAAGUGCUGAAAGCAUCUAAGCAUGAAGCCCCCCUCAAGAUGAGAUUUCCCAUUCCGCAAGGAAGUAAGAUCCCUGAAAGAUGAUCAGGUUGAUAGGUCUGAGGUGGAAGUGUGGCGACACAUGGAGCUGACAGAUACUAAUCGAUCGAGGACUUAACCAU